GACGAACGCUGGCGGCGUGCUUAACACAUGCAAGUCGAACGGAAAGGCCCUGCUUUUGUGGGGUGCUCGAGUGGCGAACGGGUGAGUAACACGUGAGUAACCUGCCCUUGACUUUGGGAUAACUUCAGGAAACUGGGGCUAAUACCGGAUAGGAGCUCCUGCUGCAUGGUGGGGGUUGGAAAGUUUCGGCGGUUGGGGAUGGACUCGCGGCUUAUCAGCUUGUUGGUGGGGUAGUGGCUUACCAAGGCUUUGACGGGUAGCCGGCCUGAGAGGGUGACCGGAGCCGUGGGGAUGGCGGGCGGGGCCAGUCUCGGAGGGGAGGGCGGGGUGGGGAGUAGUGCAGGCGGGGCGGCGGCGGGGUGCAGCAGGGCGGGUGGGGGGGUGACGGCGUUGGGGCGGACAGCCGCUGUCGCCGGUGAGGAUGGGGGGGUGUCGGUAAGGGGAAAGGGAGCACCGGCUAACUACGGGCCAGCGGCCGCGGUAAUAAUGGGACGAGCACACGUCCGAGC
rnacentral:rRNA from 1 species